UAAGGCGGCCAGACGAUCGCGUGGCGAACGCCAUGAGGAAAGUCCGAGCAUCGCAGGGCAGGGUGCCGGUUAACGGCCGGUGAAGGCGACUUCAAGGAAAGUGCAACAGAAAGAAACCGCCCGAGGCCCGCAAGGGACCCGAGUAAGGAUGGAAAGGCGAGGUAAGAGCUCACCCGCGCCCCGGCGACGGAGGCGCGAUGUAAACCCCACCCGAUGCAAGAUCCGAAUGGGGGCGAUACGGCGGCCCGCCGUGCUCCCGAAGAGAUCGCUUGACCCCGGCGGCAACGCCGGGGCUAGAUAGAUGAUCGUUCCACGACAGAACUCGGCUUACGACCGCGCUUAUCGU
rnacentral:RNase_P_RNA from 1 species